rnacentral:rRNA from 1 species
AUUGAACGCUGGCGGCAUGCUUUACACAUGCAAGUCGAACGGUAACAGGCCGCAAGGUGCUGACGAGUGGCGAACGGGUGAGUAAUGCAUCGGAACAUGCCCAGUCGUGGGGGAUAACGCAGCGAAAGCUGUGCUAAUACCGCAUACGAUCUGUGGAUGAAAGCGGGGGACCGUAAGGCCUCGCGCGAUUGGAGCGGCCGAUGUCAGAUUAGGUAGUUGGUGGGGUAAAGGCUCACCAAGCCGACGAUCUGUAGCUGGUCUGAGAGGACGACCAGCCACACUGGGACUGAGAAACGGCCCAGACUCCUACGGGAGGCAGCAGUGGGGAAUUUUGGACAAUGGGCGCAAGCCUGAUCCAGCAAUGCCGCGUGCAGGAAGAAGGCCUUCGGGUUGUAAACUGCUUUUGUACGGAGCGAAAAGGCUCUCUCUAAUACAGGGGGCUCAUGACGGUACCGUAAGAAUAAGCACCGGCUAACUACGUGCCAGCCGCCGCCGUAACAC